UACGUAGGUGGCAAGCGUUGUCCGGAUUUACUGGGCGUAAAGGAUGCGUAGGCGGACAUUUAAGUCAGAUGUGAAAUACCCGAGCUUAACUUGGGUGCUGCAUUUGAAACUGGGUGUCUAGAGUGCAGGAGAGGUAAGUGGAAUUCCUAGUGUAGCGGUGAAAUGCGUAGAGAUUAGGAAGAACACCAGUGGCGAAGGCGCCGCUCUGGGCCGAGACUGACGCUGAGGAGCGAAAGCGUGGGUAGCAAACAGG
rnacentral:rRNA from 1 species